AUCCUGGGCCGACAGGCUUCCGGGUAACCCGCUGAACCUCCUUCGUGCUUAGGGAUCGUGGCUUGCAAUUUUUCCACGUGAACGAGGAAUUCCCAGUAAGCGCGAGUCAUCAGCUCGCGUUGAUUACGUCCCUGCCCUUUGUACACACCGCCCGUCGCUACUACCGAUUGAACGGUCGCAUUGAGGUCUUCGGAGUGGACGCGCGUUAUUCGGCCCCCUCGGGGGCUGGGUCGUCGCGCGAUCGCGAAGAUGACCGAAAUCGGCCGUUUAGAGGAAGUAAAAGUCGUAACAAGGUUUCCGUAGGUGAACCUGCGGAAGGAUCAUUA
rnacentral:ncRNA from 1 species